rnacentral:rRNA from 1 species
UGCGAGUCGAACGAUGAAGCCCAGCUUGCUGGGUGGAUUAGUGGCGAACGGGUGAGUAACACGUGAGUAACCUGCCCUUAACUCUGGGAUAAGCCUGGGAAACUAGGUCUAAUACCGGAUAGGAGCGCCUACCGCAUGGUGGGUGUUGGAAAGAUUUAUCGGUUUUGGAUGGACUCGCGGCCUAUCAGCUUGUUGGUGAGGUAAUGGCUCACCAAGGCGACGACGGGUAGCCGGCCUGAGAGGGUGACCGGCCACACUGGGACUGAGACACGGCCCAGACUCCUACGGGAGGCAGCAGUGGGGAAUAUUGCACAAUGGGCGAAAGCCUGAUGCAGCGACGCCGCGUGAGGGAUGACGGCCUUCGGGUUGUAAACCUCUUUCAGUAGGGAAGAAGCGAAAGUGACGGUACCUGCAGAAGAAGCACCGGCUAACUACGUGCCAGCAGCCGCGGUAAUACGUAGGGUGCGAGCGUUAUCCGGAAUUAUUGGGCGUAAAGAGCUCGUAGGCGGUUUGUCGCGUCUGUCGUGAAAGUCCGGGGCUUAACCCCGGAUCUGCGGUGGGGUACGGGCAGACUAGAGUGCAGUAGGGGAGACUGGAAUUCCUGGUGUAGCGGUGGAAUGCGCAGAUAUCAGGAGGAACACCGAUGGCGAAGGCAGGUCUCUGGGCUGUAACUGACGCUGAGGAGCGAAAGCAUGGGGAGCGAACAGGAUUAGAUACCCUGGUAGUCCAUGCCGUAAACGUUGGGCACUAGGUGUGGGGGACCAUUCCACGGUUUCCGCGCCGCA